CGUCACAAACCAGGGGCCCAACCGCAAAAGCACCUUACACCAAUUACCAUCAAGGGCACCUCAACCAACAUCUGGCUGGUGUUCCCUGCAACGGAGAGUGCCCCGGAGGAUUUUGUGCUGUCUUCCCAUCCACUGCACUGUCGGCCCCAAGGGACAACUUAACCCUGUACCAUUUCCACUUUCCU